UUUGUACAUGCCACAUUACUAAAAGAAAAUAUACAUCACCAAAAUUUGCUGAAGUCGGGUCUGGUUUUGGAUGCUGGUUCAGUACUUGACUUUUACAACCUGCGCACGGAAACAACCGUACGCUGAGUAUUUCAUACUCAGUGGUAUUACUAUAAAUUAAACUAUUUAAUAAUAAAAUUUCAAAUAUUGACCAUAAUCUUAUAAAUCACUUUAAACUAAAUAUACAUAUUCAUAUAUCAUUCCAUAGAUCUUAAAUUUAUAUUUAUAUAUAUAUUUACAUACUAAUUCAAUUUAUAAUUUAACUCAUACAUUCUUUCUCGUAUUUUUCUAUAGUGUCAAACCAACCAAUUUCAUUUUUAAAUUUUCAUUUCAAUUAUUUACCCUAUUAACAAGGCUCGGACUCUGACAGAUACGAGGAUUCCACCCAAACACACCAGAAUAUCCAACCUAAACACACCCAGAAUUAUUUAAAUCCUCCAUAACACACCAAUAAGACAUUAAAUGCCUCUUCGGAUAAACCGAAGCAUAUAAUAAUAUAAUCAUCUUCUCGGCCGAACUACAAAUCUCAUCACCACAUCACAAAUCCAAUGGCAUGCCAUUUGUAUCCAAUCUAGUCCUAUAAGUUAAUAGGGUAUUAUUUUACUUUUCCAAUUUCGAAUUCAUUUCCACAACAAUCUCAAAUACUCAAACAAUUCAAAACAUCUAUUAUUUCAAUAUAGCAUUUAGUAAAUAGUUUAAGUUAUAGUAAUACAAACCCGAAAUACGCGUUUACUCCUCAACAAUCUUUUCUUUCCCUUUGGAUGCCGAUGCUUCGUUUUCCUUGUUAGCUACGAAAAUAAUAAUUAUUUUCACUAUUAAUUACAGAUUAAAAAAAUAAUAUUAAUUAAAUUUUAUUCAAUUCCCACUUAUUCCCAAUUUAAUUAUAACUAAGCUUACUUAUUUUUCUAACUUAAUUCAUACUUCUUUUCUACUUAAUGUAUUGCCAUAUUUAACUCUACUAUUCAAUAUUCAUAAUUAAACCCUAAUUUAAGGAUUUUUAUAACUUAAUCCCAACUAUGUAAAAUUUAUAACUUAGUUUACAAAUCAAUCUUUUUAUCUAUUCUAACUAGAAAUUCUAUCAACUAAACCCCUAAUUUAACAACUUGUUCAAAAUGAAUCAUAUUCAAAAACCUAUGAACUUCCAUAACCUCCACUUGAUUUCAACAAAACUUUGUUUUAAAACUUCUAAAACAUCAAAAUGAAGAGAAAAGGACUAAAUUUAGCUUACCAAUUAAACUUGAAGCUUUAAAAUCUCAAUUUCCCUUUUUCUUUUCUUUCCCUUUUUUCUUCCUCGUCUCUUUCUCUGUUUCUAUUUUGUUCUUCUUUUGUUU
rnacentral:lncRNA from 1 species